GACUUUCGAGCCCAACUGCACAGUAUAUAUUGCCAUGCUGCUGCCAUGAAAUAUCAUGAACAGUUCCGUAUACUAAUAACUCUUUCAAACAAGGAUCAGAAAAACUUACCAUGAAGUUGAACCUUGUUCGUGCCUGCCGCACCCUCCUGAUUGCAGUUGCCAUCCUCCUUUGUCAGUUCUACUCAUCUGAAGCUCACAGAGGAUUGUUAGUACAUGAAUUAAGAGCACCAUACCGAUCUCCACCGCCGCCACCAAUUCGGAGACCACCAAUCAUACCGUACUACAGUUCUACCCGACGAUCAGUAUAUGAAGAAAGAGCACCAUACAAAUCUCCACCGCCACCACCUCUUCUGGCACAACCAAGUAAACCCUAAAAUUAAUGGAGCAACAGGAUGAAUCACAUUCAGCAAAGAACCUCCCAGAUUACAGGGUAAGAUAAAAUGGCAUGAUAUGAGGAGUCAAGCAUACAGACGGGAAAGAAAAGAUCCAUCCAUUACCAACAAAUGCUAUUAAAGAGAACUCUGUUUCUUUUCCUGAUAAAUUGUAAUCAGUUAACCAUGUUGCAAUAAAGUUACACAUUCCUAUAACUUUUGAGAGGAUGAU